AGCAGAUGCCGCCAUAGUCCCGAGGCACCGUCUGGCAAGGCUGCCCUCACGGCAAAACAGGUUUAAUUUUGGCAGACGCCUUUCGUCAAGCAUGGUACUUCGGGCAAAUCAACCCAUCUGAAGUGCAAUACAAAAGUGCAACCAGUGGCAUGGCACCGAAGUUGCGAACUCUUCAAGUGCUUUGACAUCUGAAUGCUCCAUGGCUCUUUUUGGUGGUCAACACCCAAGGCAGAAGACUAAAAGACAAGACAUGCAAAAAGAAGAAGGAGAAAAAAAAACAAGCGACAUUUCUGGUGCAUGCAUUCAAUGUGUAUUUUCGCAGUAUAUGUUUCACCCAGUGUUUAUGAGCAAUAAAUAUGUAGGAACA